rnacentral:rRNA from 1 species
ACUGGUUGAUCCUGCCAGUAAUGAUAUGCUUGUCUCAAAGAUUAAGCCAUGCAUGUAUUAGUUCACACCCUUGAAAGGUGAAACCGCAUAUGGCUCAUUAAAUCAGCUAUAAUUCCUUAGAUCUUACAAACCUCUACUUGGAUAACUGUAGAAAUUCUAGAGCUAAUACAUGCCAAUUUAUACCUUAGCUUUCGGGCUGGGGUGGAUUUAUUAGUACAAAACCAUUCAGCUUUACGGCUGCGGUUUGUUGACUCUGGAUAACUCUACCUGAUCGCACGGCCUUGCGCCAGCGACGUAUCUUUCAAGUGUCUGCCCUAUCAACUUUCGAUGGUAGGUUAUUUGCCUACCAUGGUUAUAACGGGUGACGGGGAAUCAGGGUUCGAUUCCGGAGAGGGAGCCUUAGAAAUGGCUGCUACAUCUAAGGAAGGCAGCAGGCGCGCAACUUACCCACUGUUAGUUCAGCGAGGUAGUGACGAAAAAUAACAAUACAGAACUCUUAUGAGGCUCUGUAAUUGGAAUGAGUACGAUUUAAAUCCUCUAACGAGGGAGGGCAAGUCUGGUGCCAGCAGCCGCGGUAAUUCCAGCUCCAAUAGCGUAUAUUAAAGUUGUUGCAGUUAAAAAGCUCGUAGUUGGAUCUCGGGUUGUGAAUGCAUAGUGUGGCCUUUAGCUGCUACUAUGCUUUCCGCCUUACUAGUCGUUAGUGAUUACUGGUGCUCUUAACUGAGUUGUCAGUAAUGCACGACAUGUUUACUUUGAAAAAAUUAGAGUGCUCAAGGCAGGCCUUUUCGCCUGUAUAACGUUGCAUGGAAUAAUGGAAUAAGUCUCUACCGCUAUUUUGAUGGUUUUCGGUUAAUUAGUGGAGAAAUGAUUAAAAGGGGUAGAACGAGGGCUAAAGUAUGGUCGCGCUAGAGGUGAAAUUCUUGGACCGUGGCCAGACUAUCCGUUGCGAAAGCAUUUGCCAAGGAUGCUUUAUUUAAUCAAGAACGAAAGUCAGAGGUUCGAAGACGAUCAGAUACCGUCCUAGUUUUGACUAUAAACUAUGCCAACUGACCAUCCCGCAGACAUUUUGUUUUUGCGUGGCAGUCCCCAGGGAAACCUUAAGUAUGGUUCUGGGGGGAAUAUGGUCGCAAGUCUGAAACUUAAAGGAAUUGACGGAAGGGCACCACCAGGAGUGGAGCCUGCGGCUUAAUUUGACUCAACACGGGAAAACUCACCCGGCCCGGACACUGUAAGGAUUGACAGAUUGAUAGUUCUUUCAUGAUUUGGUGGAUGGUGGUGCAUGGCCGUUCUUAGUUGGUGGAGUGAUUUGUCUGGUUAAUUCCGAUAACGAACGAGACUCUAGCCUGCUAAAUAGUACACUCAUACCCUGGGCUUUCUUUCAUGGGUAGUGAGUGAUUUACUUCUUAGAGGGAUUGGUGGCUUCUAGUCACAUGAAACUGAGCAAUAACAGGUCUGUGAUGCCCUUAGAUGUCCGGGGCCGCACGCGCGCUACACUGAUAGUGUCAGAAAGUUUCCUUGGCCGAAAGGUCUGGGUAAUCUUUUAAUUACUAUCUCGUCAGGGAUCAGGGUUUGUAAUUAUCCCCUGUGAACGAGGAAUUCCCAGUAAGUGCAAGUCAUCAGCUUGCGUUGAUUACGUCCCUGCCCUUUGUACACACCGCCCGUCGCUACUACCGAUUGGAUGGUUUAGUGAGGUUAUCGGAUUGGAGGUAUGGGAGUGGCUCGCUACUCUUAAUACUUUCGAGAAGAUACUCAAACUUGACCAUUUAGAGGAAGUAAAAGUCGUAACAAGGUUUCCGUAGGUGAACCUGCGGAAG